rnacentral:rRNA from 1 species
CCGGCGACCGGCGCACGGGUGAGUAACGCGUAUGCAACCUGCCCGUUUCAGCGGGAUAACCCGGAGAAAUCCGGCCUAAUACCGCAUGUGGCCGAGGGGAGGCAUCUUCUUUCGGCCAAAGGAGGCGACUCCGGAGACGGAUGGGCAUGCGUGACAUUAGCUUGUUGGCGGGGUAACGGCCCACCAAGGCGACGAUGUCUAGGGGUUCUGAGAGGAAGGUCCCCCACAGUGGUACUGAGACACGGACCAGACUCCUACGGGAGGCAGCAG